UCUUUAAUGUACUCUUUUACAGUCACAUUCCCCCCAGCUGAGUGCUCCCUGUCAUCCAAUGUGGACGUUCAGCUUACUGCACCCUCAGCACAACUAAAUCCUAAAGAGGCAUUUGAAAAGUUCAUGGAGAGGCUUUCUUCUCUAAAUGCCUCUGGUCCUUCUGCCAAGCCUCAAAGAAGCUCUGCAUCAUCAUGGACUUUUCGGCAGCAGAAAGCCUCAGAGCGCUGGACAGAAAAACGACCAAACAACCUACAAUGCCUCAUUGAAAAGGAGGCUGUUGGUCAUCCCUUGUGUUGCCUCUGCCACAAGCCAGCUGUUAUUAGUUGCAGAGGGUGUCUCCUUGAAGAGUGGUUCUGUGGUGACUGCGAUGUACUGCAUCACAAAAAACAGCCACUCCACAACAGGGAAUGUCUGAUACGUGGGUUAUUUGAACCCAUUCCUCCAACCACACAUGUCAUUAAAGGGGAGGGUGGAUAUUACACUCAGGAGCAAGGGCAUUAUGACUUGCAUCAGCCACUGAAUGUAUGUAAGACGUGCCAGCAGCAGUGGACCCCUGACAUGAAGGACUUCCUUCGGAGUGGAUAUUGGCCAGCCUCUGUCAA